UUCAGACGUGUGCUCUUCCAAUCACAUGUUAACACCAGUUUAAGGUAAUAUUUUUGGUCGCACGAUGCUAACACCCCUAAAAUAUUCACGCGUUCAUUUCAAUUUCUCAGCAAGCUCCUCAAGUAUUCUAAAAUAAACACACGAUAAUUUUAGUCUCCUACAGCCAAUUAAUCUUCAGUAUUUUGCAAACGCUCUCUUGUGGAUGCGAUUUCUCUUUUUAUGCAGUUUAAUGCUCUUCGUUUGGCUCUGUACGCAGUAUUACACUUUUCACCACUUCAGGAGUCUGCAAGAUGUUGUGACACAUAACGAGUAAGAGUCAAAGGAACCACGACUCUUUAGUGUCAAUGACCAAUAUUCAUACAAAAUUAUGAGUUUGCUGGUAUAGUGGUUGAUAGGAUUUGAUUUUAAUUUUUACAACAGAACUGAGAAUGGGAAAAGAGACCGGAUGAUGUUGACGUAACUAUAAAAAUUAGCCUUAAUGAAUUUUUCGAGGGCAUCUUAUGCAAGGGCAUUGUUGUGAUACCACAGACGCAGCUUCAUAAAAAUC